UACGAAGGGGGCUAGCGUUGUUCGGAAUUACUGGGCGUAAAGGGCGCGUAGGCGGAUUAGUAAGUCGGGAGUGAAAUCCCUGGGCUCAACCCGGGAAUUGCUCUCGAAACUAUUAGUCUUGAGUGUAGGAGAGGUAAGUGGAAUUCCCAGUGUAGAGGUAAAAUUCGUAGAUAUUGGGAGGAACACCGGUGGCGAAGGCGGCUUACUGGCCUAUUACUGACGCUGAGGCGCGAAAGCGUGGGGAGCAAACAGG
rnacentral:rRNA from 1 species